rnacentral:rRNA from 1 species
UUUACGGAGAGUUUGAUCCUGGCUCAGGACGAACGCUGGCGGCGUGCUUAACACAUGCAAGUCGAACGAUGAAGCCGGAGCUUGCUCUGGUGGAUUAGUGGCGAACGGGUGAGUAACACGUGAGUAACCUGCCCUUGACUCUGGGAUAAGCGUUGGAAACGACGUCUAAUACCGGAUACGAGCUGAGACCGCAUGGUCAUUAGCUGGAAAGAACUUCGGUCAAGGAUGGACUCGCGGCCUAUCAGUUAGUUGGUGAGGUAAUGGCUCACCAAGACGACGACGGGUAGCCGGCCUGAGAGGGUGACCGGCCACACUGGGAC